AUUGAACGCUGGCGGCAGGCCUAACACAUGCAAGUCGAGCGAGCGGCGGACGGGUGAGUAAUGUAUGGGGACUGCCCGUUAGAGGGGGAUCACUACUGGAAACCGUCGCUUAUACCGCAUACUAUCGGAUAACCUAUAUGGGAUUAGCUAGUAGGUGGGGUAAAGGCUCACCUAGGCGACGAUCUCUAGCUGGUCUGAGAGGAGGAUCAGCCACACUGGGACUGAGACACGGCCCAGACUCCUACGGAGGAAGAAGGGGGGAAGAUUGCACAAUGGGCGCAAGCCUGAUGCAGCCAUGCCGCGUGUAUGAAGAAGGCCUUAGGGUGGUAAAGUACUUUCAGCGGGGAGGCGUUACCCGCAGAAGAAGCACCGGCUAACUCCGUGCCAGCAGCCGCGGUAAUAC
rnacentral:rRNA from 1 species